GUUAGAUGUCAAUCUUGUUUUAUAGGUUUGAUCGAAUUAAAGAGUUUAAUUCGAUCACCAAUUAGAAAGGAUUCUAAUUGUUAAGUUCGGGUUCGCGCAGUUUGGACUUAAAUCGAUUAGAAGAGUUCUAAUCAAGUUGGGUCAACUCGCACUCACACCUAUUGCUGGCUAAGUAUGGAACCCAAUGGGUCACACAUAAGAAAACUUACUAAGGGUCUAAUUGGAUUAGAUCAUGUUUGCAAGAUAGACAUCCUAGCAGGUGUUGCAAACCCUUAGCUCUUGAUUCGAAUUGGAUUCGAAUCUGAUUCUUAAUUGAUCUAAUUUGAUUAGAUCAUGUUCUAAUAUGGGUUAGCCAAGAGUUGGCACCUAAUUGGCUUGGUUUGAGUCUAAUUGGAUUAGAUUUAAUAAAUCAUUCAAUCUAGACCGUUAGAUCUUGAUCUACCAUUGGAUGAAGAUAUAAUGGAGAGUUGGUUUAACCCAAUUGGAUUGGGUUAGAGGAUGGCUAUCAUAAUUGACCAUUGGAUCUUAAUCCCACCAUUGGAUGAAGACAUAAUGGGUCAAGUGAAUGGC
rnacentral:lncRNA from 1 species